rnacentral:rRNA from 1 species
UACGAAGGGGGCUAGCGUUGUUCGGAAUUACUGGGCGUAAAGGGCUCGUAGGCGGUUUGUCGCGUCGGGAGUGAAAACCUCGGGCUUAACUCGGGGCUUGCUUUCGAUACGGGCAGACUAGAGGUAUGCAGGGGAGAACGGAAUUCCUGGUGUAGCGGUGAAAUGCGCAGAUAUCAGGAGGAACACCGGUGGCGAAGGCGGUUCUCUGGGCAUGAUCUGACGCUGAGGAGCGAAAGUGUGGGGAGCGAACAGG